rnacentral:tmRNA from 1 species
GGGGAUGAUCUGGUUUCGACUGCAUAAGAGUAUCGAGAUCUGCGUGUCGCGGCGGCAUGCCCGCGUUAAAACGUGCCAAACUUAUAAGUGCUGAUAACUUCGCACUUGCUGCUUAAUCAGUAGCCGUCUCGCUCUGUUUUUUCUACGGAGCAGGGAUUGAGGCGCAACAACACGUAGGAACGCACCAUCCGUGCUAUUCUAACGGAUGAAUGCGGAACAAUAGAAUGUAGCGUACGCGAGUUUCGCAGGAAUUUUCAUCGCGCACGUGAAUCAACAAUUCCGGCUACACACGUAGGUGGUUUCGUUGCUGUAUGCAGGACGCGGGUUCGAUUCCCGCCAUCUCCAAAA